UACGGGGGGGCAAGCGUUGUUCGGAAUUACUGGGCGUAAAGGGCUCGUAGGCGGCCAACUAAGUCAGACGUGAAAUCCCUCGGCUUAACCGGGGAACUGCAUCUGAUACUGGAUGGCUUGAGUUCGGGAGAGGGAUGCGGAAUUCCAGGUGUAGCGGUGAAAUGCGUAGAUAUCUGGAGGAACACCGGUGGUGUAGACGGCUUUCUGGACCGUAACUGACGCUGAGACACGAAAGCGUGGGUAGCAAACAGG
rnacentral:rRNA from 1 species